rnacentral:lncRNA from 1 species
UUUUUCGGUGAUUUCAGUUUCUCUGAAAUUUCUGCACUAUUUUUUUUUUUUUGUGGCGAUGACGAUGAAAAAAUGACCUUUUAUCACAUGAGUGAGAUUUUCAAAUCUCAUGAUUACCUUUCAAGCGCUUCUGAGCCAUAUAUUUUAGAUCUCGAUUAAAUUUUUCAGGAUUAUUAGUAUUUUCGUCCUAAUUAUAGUUGAUCGAAUUUUGCUCUGAACUUCUUGUAAUUACUUGAAUUGAAUAUAGUUUGGUUGUGUAUAAUGAUGAAGUUAAUUAGGUUAAUAGGUAGGGGAGUUUGAAAAAGUUUCUUAAAGUUUUUUUGGUAAAAUUGCACACGAAGAAUUGCAGACAUUCUCUUCCAUCUCUAAGUCUUCACUUUCUUAUUUUCUUUAUGCUAAGAAAGUCUUUCUUAAGAAAAUCAAGACUUAGAAUAGAAGAGAAUAUCUGUAUGAUACAAAACACAGAAAGAAAAAUGCAGUUUGCUUUAACACCUCUAUUAGCUCCAAGCCUCAAACUAAUCUCAGCCGUUGAACAUAACUUCUAAU